GUUUUAAUAGUUUAAAAAAAAAAAAAAAAAACAAUGAUUUUGUAAAUCAAAGAUAGGUUUUUCCUUUAAAACU
rnacentral:tRNA from 1 species